rnacentral:lncRNA from 1 species
CUAGGGCCCGGGGUCCUAGGUUUCUAUGACGACGCAAGGCAUUCUGAGAAAAGUUGUGGCUGCCGGCGCCCGGCGGGAAACACAUUUUGCUGGUACAGCUUUCGAGUGUCCAUUUCCUUUCGGUUUAAAUGAAGAAACGAUGAAAGCCCUAGCGCUGCCAGACCCCUGAGUCCGCGAGGGCACUGCUUGUGGGAGAGGUUGGAGUCCCUGACUGCCUAGAGCGCGCCACCGAGCUGCCGGCUGCCAGUGCUUAGGGUCAGCGGGUAGGGUGUGCGGGUGUGUCCUUCCCGGCCUCUGCUGGGACCCUGAGGCACGUGCAAGCUUCUGAGUCAGGACAGAUGGGCUGAGAGAUUACAGAGGUUUCUGAAAGAGGGUAAACCACGGAAGAGGGAUUCUGAAACUCCAAUGUAAACAUAAGCACUUUAAUGAGUCUUUUGCUUGUUUUGUUUUCCCUACAGGACAGUGUAGUAACCUGAAAGUCCCAGAAGUGCCAGUAGCAGACUGAUUUAUUUCUGAGUUAUCUUUCUGGAGGAAUAUGUCACAUUACUAAAAAGAGUGAUAGGAAGCAUUAUUAUGUCUCUCCCGAAAACGCCAACCUCACCGUUAAAGUCCCCACCAUCUUAUGACCCUAGGAAGUCAAAAGUAUCUGCCGUCAAGGAGACAAGAGGGAUAUUUCUUUUCUGUAUGAUGUUAAAUAUGUAAAAGAAGAGACUAGAGAGAAUGCAAUUUGUCCCCCACAUUUGGACCAUGCAUUACAAUCCAAAGAUGAUCACAAGAAACAUGAUGGUGUCCUCCUGUCUCACAAGCAAAUAUACUACUCUUCUCACGGAUAGUGAAAACAGGCUAUUGCUCUUCCCAUCCAUGAAACGUAAUAGAAGAGUGGAAGUGGUCCAACUGAGUGAAGUGAUGAACACUAUGCUAGAGAGGGCUGGUGUAGAAAAUGAGGAAUAUGCAGGACCAACCAANNNNNNNNNNNNNNNNNNNNNNNNNNNNNNNNNNNNNNNNNNNNNNNNNNNNNNNNNNNNNNNNNNNNNNNNNNNNNNNNNNNNNNNNNNNNNNNNNNNNUGUGUGUGGAAGGAACCCUCCUACAUUGUUGGUGGGAAUGUAAACUAGCACAACCACUAUGGAAAUAAGUAUGGAAUUCCCCAAAGAAUUAGAAAUUUCAUUUGAUCCAGCUUUCCCCUUCUAGAUAUCCUUCAGAAAGUGUUAAAGAUAUAAUAUUAUAAUGCUACAUGCAUACCCAUGUUGAUAGCAUCACAACUCAUAACAGCUAAAUCUUGAAAGUGGCCUGUAUGUCCACAAACAGAUGAAUGGAUAAAGAAAAAGUGGUGUAUACACAUAAUGGAGUACUAUUCAAGCAUAAAUAAGGAUAAAUUUGAGUCAUUUGUAGGAAAAUAAUCUUGAGACCAUAAUCUUAAGUGAAAUCUGACUCACAAGAUCAAAUAUCACAUGGUUUUUCUUAUAUGUAUAAUCCAAAGUAUAAAUAAUUCAGAAGAAAAUAAAUGAUAGCUUAUAGGAAACAAGAAGCAAAUGGGAAGGGAUGUAGGGAAGAGGGGGAGGGGGAGGGGAGGGGAAAGGGAUGUAGAAGGAUUGAGGUGUGAUGUGUAUGUGUACCAGCCCUCCAAGAGGAAGAUAUUCAUUAUGUGUCACACAUGUAUACUAAUAAAAAAUACAUAGUAUCCCUUUGGGGUAGGAAUUAGGGUUUGCACAACUCAACUUUCUCAUCUAUUGAUAUAUUUAUUCUUCUCUUUUUUCAUUUUUUAAGCCAAAGAGAUUAACAGACACUUUAAUUCCUGAAGAAUUUCAUAUUGUGUCAAAUACAGGAGUUUCAGGUUUGGAGUGCUACGAUGAGUGUGUAUAUGACACACAUCAAAUACCUGACAUGUUGAAGUAUUUUCUCCUUCCCAUGCCUAGAAAAACCUGGGGACAGCACAGGUGUAUCCUGGUGUAAUGAGAAAACGCAGGGUAGCAGCCCUAAUAUAAUUUAAAAAGCUAAUGAAGACUUCAUGGUUUGGGAUUUUAGUAAUUAAAUGACUAAAUUGUUCUCUGUUCCUUUCUGCAGUUUUAAAUUUAAAUUUUAAAAACUGGGACUUUGUUCCAAAUAUUGACUGUAUCUUUUAAGUAUGGGUUGUACAUGGUCAUAACCAUGCAGACAAAGGAAAGUAGCCCUGUGAGUCAGAAUCGCAGACUGCAGACUUGUCAUCUCAUUGUCUUUGAUUUUCUGUUUAUGGGAUUGAAAAUGAGAUCUUGGUUAUAUUUUCUGAGACAACAUUUGAAUGUUUCAUAGUUUUGUUUUUCUUUUUGUUUUUUUUUUGGUACCGGGCAUCGAACUCAGGUCCUUGUGCUUGUGAGGCAGGUGGUAGGACCACUAAGCUAAAUCCCCAUCCCUGAAUGUUUCAUAGUUUAAAAAAGAACUUGGGAUUUUUGUUUGUUUUUUCUUUCUGAGACAGGAUCUCGCUAUGUAGUUUAGGCUGGCCUUGAACUCACCAAAUGCCCUUGAGCUUUUGGCAAUUCUCUUGGCUCAGCCUCUUGGGUGUUGGAAUUAUAGGCAUGUGCCACCACACCUGGCUAUAAAACAACUAGAACUUUGGACUAAGGUUUUAUAAUAAAGCAUGGAGAAGCUGCU